GAUAAGAUGGUUCAAUACAUUACUUUAAAAAGUUUACAACACUGUAAUCCAAAAGAAUAAGAAACUUAAAAUACAUGCAAUGGCUCUGACUAUCCAUCUAUGAAGCCUCUAAUAAUAUUGACUAUAGGUAGUCAGGACAUGACCCUCAACUAUCUCUAAUCAAUAUAUAAGAAUAAGAAAAUAAAAUAUAAGAACUGGAAUCAACUUGAGUCCUCAAAAUACGAUAACUCAUCCCCUGCUGACUGAAUGCUAUGAUCUACUUGGUUAUGAUCCUAUAGUAAGCACCUGAAUCUAUAUCACAUGAAAAAUGUAGGCAGAAGAGGUAUGCACUCAGUAAUUUGAAAUGCACUAAGUAUGUGAGAUAUGCAUUAGUCAUAAAAAUACUUAAAACUUGCUCUAAAACAAAGGACAUAAGACAUUUGUUGAGCUAUGCAUUUAGAAUAUAUAUGUACGUAAAAGCAGUAAGGCAUAGUGAAAUUUCUAAAUCACAAGCUAAAAUAUUUCUGUAAAUUGAGAAGCGUUAGAAACAUGACUAUUAUAUUUAAUAUCAAGAUACUACUGAAUAUGAUGUAAAACUAUACUGAGGGUCAUGUAUGAAUACUAGGUUUGAAAUUGUGUGAUGUGAACUGAUGUAAUGACCAAGUAUAAACAUGUACUGUAUAAAACUAAAUAACUGAAUACAAGGUCAUGCACAUCUGAACUGAAACAUAGCUGAACAUAAACUGAGGACUGUGGGAGCUAACAAUAACUGAUAUGCCCUAAUCUGAGCUAAUCAUGGUCCAACCCGUAACCCUAGUUGGAAGGGUGUUAGUACCUUGACAAGGGUACCUACACUGGCUGACGUGAAUCCACGAAAAUAAUAUCCUGAAUAACUAGGGUGUCAGUCCUCUAAUGAUGGGUGACCCCUCAUAACCUACGAUGGUAACAUAGUUUUGGAACUUAGGGACUUCUACUAAAGGUCUCAGUCCUUAACUGGCAGGUGAACCUUCAUCCAUAGGUUCACUCGGUGCUAAGUAAUACUCCCAACUGAACUGACACUGAUAACUGAUAUAUGCUCAGCAUGAUUUGAUAGCUGAUAUAUGAUCAACUUAGUAAUAUUAUUAAUUUAAAAAAAUAAGCAUCAUAUGAAUGACUCAUAAUAUGUAAACUGAUAUAUGCAUGGAUUUUGAUCUGAGGUGUAUUUAUGCACUUUAGUGUUGUUAUCCUAGCCUAUUUAGUCUUCUUUUGAGGACAAUUCAUGUGCUUAAUGAGUAAACAAUGAUAUAAAUAAGCAUCUAAGUGUUUAAGUAUAUAAUUACAUUGUUUAAUAUGUAUUUCAAAUAAGUUUGUACUUAAUUUGAUCACUUAGAGUUCAAACGAGAAAACUAGUUUUACUAACUUGAGCUAGGUAUUGUCUAGUCUAUCUCGAUGGAUUCCAACGUGUUAAAUGAGUUAUUAAUGGUUUGAUUGUAUAAUUAUGUGUGUAAAAACUUAUUUAUAAUUUUCAAAGUGCAAUUCAAAUAAUCCAAGAGUCAACCACGAAGUAAAGAUCAACAUGGGCAAGCCUAGUCUUAGCUCGAGUUUCUAGCUCACCGUUCUUGAUAUUGUGUUAUUUUAAGAUCUAAUCCAUGGUGUUUUAUGAAUUAUGAUGAUUGGUGAUCUUAUUAUGGUGAUACAUGUACAUUUAAAAAUAUUUAAAUAAAGUCAAAAUGACACCACAAGCAUGGGGUUUGAAGGAAAAAUGCACAAGACAAUAAAAAGGCAAAUUGCACUUUCUAGUGUGCUCACGCAAUAUGGACGCUUCGCAGCCCUUUAUCCCUGGGAAUAAGAAAAUCCCAAUUCCACUCUAUCCCUGGGACUAAGACACGUGACAAACACCUCUCUCUCAUGCAGCAAGAAAUGCGGCACACCACAUAUUCCCUAUACGGCCAAACUUUGCCAACUAUAAAAACAACAUGUUAACACUUAGUAAAGGACUUUUGAUGUCUUGGAGAAUUAAGGAGGGUAUGAUACACAUUUUAAUUAGGGUUUAUUUUUCUUUAAUUUAGCUUUUUAAUUUAUUUAAUCAUGUAUUCAUUAAUUUAAAUUACGGUUAUGUCUAUUAGUGGCUUAACGUCCUCUCUCCGGGGUUAAGGCCAAAACCAUGUUUACUUUCGCUUUGAAUUGAAUUUGUUUGGAUUUCUUAUAAUAUUUUGGUUGUUUAUUCAUCCUUGUUUUAAAUAUUUUAAGGAGUAUCUAACCUUAAAAUACAUGAAUUUUUGACCUUGUGAUCUCAGGAGGGGGAAUAGAAAGAUAGAACGUGAGGAUGAAUAGAGUAAAGUUCUUAUUCUUUUAUAAAAUAAGGAAUUUGAAUUAGAGACUAGGAUAAGAAUUUACCUUUAAGCCUUGAUUGGUUAACAUGCAAUAUGAUAUCUUAAUGCAUCUAAAUAAAUUAUUGCAUCCUUGCUCAACGAUAUAGUUGUAAUGUCCAGUCAGGUAGAAGGUUAGAGGCCAUGAGACCAUGAUCAUAUGAUAAACCCUACAAAUCAAAAACUAGGAUAAGUAAUCUAACGAAUGAAGUCCAAUGGCAUAGUAUGAUUAUUCAUAGUUCCUUAACCUCGGGCUUUCAUCCAUUCAUUGACUCAAUAUUUGCUUUUCCACAUUUCAUUAGUUUUCUUUUAAUUUAUAACUUUUAAAACUCUCUUGGUUACCUUUGCACUAAUUUAAUCUUAAUAGUUGAACUAGAAUAGGAUAGUUUUUAACACAAGUCUUUGAGGGAUUGAUAUUCGACUUUAUUUAAAGCCACUGUAUUACUUGGUGAGACCAUGUAUACUUGCGCGUGCGCUUGGACACAACAAAUUUCUUAGGUAUCGGAUAUUCAUAAUCCACCAGAUCUAUCUAAUACAAUUGAAUAUGAUAGUACUGAAAGCUGAUCAUAAUAGGGAAUUUCAUGAAUAAAGUUCAAAUAUUCAACAACUGAUCAUAAUAUGAAAAUUCAUGAUUCUUGAAUAUGGAAAGAUGCUAUCCUUAUGGAAAAACAUGUAUUCGUGAUUUAAUUAAAAAAUGCUAUCCUUAUGGAAAACCAUGUAUUCAUGGUUUAAUUACAAAAUAAUUUGAAGAAAUUAGGAAAAACUCAUAUUUGACCUGGAACCCAAAAGUUGAAGGGAAAUUAAGCUUAUGGAUUGAGAAGUCUUAAAUGAAUGGGUACAUCAUUCAUAGCUUGAUCAUAUGCUUUAAAUUUAGAGUAAUAUCAUGUAAAUCAUGCAUGAUCAUGACAAUAGCAUGAAUGAUAUAAUAUGGAUCUAAUAAAUCAUGAAUAAUCAUUAAAACAAGCUUAUGAGUGAAAAUUAUAUCAUGGGAAAUUGAAUUUAUGCUUAGAAUAACAAUUGGUUAAGAACACUAGUUUAUGAAAAUCAUAAAAUUCAUGAAUAAAAAUCAUAAUUUGGGCAUGAGUAUGAAAGUAGAUCCUCAUUGAAUACCCACAUACCUGAUUACUUUCGAUUCUUGAAAUGAAGUUUUGGAGAUUUAGACUUGGAGGUGGAAAACCUCAAUUUCUUGAUUUGAAAGAGUGGAAAAUCGCAUGUCUCUUGAGAAAUUUUG
rnacentral:lncRNA from 1 species